GAGAAAAGAGAAGAACAAAGGAAGGGUGUUUUACCUGUUCCUUGAAAAAUUUCAGUGAAGUGAGGGUGAGAGCACUGUCAAAUGAGAGCAAGAACCGUGAGAGUGAUUUGUGAGAGCAGAGGUUACUUUUUUGGUAUACAUAGUGAGUGAAGAGAGUAUUUUAUUUUUUAAGGUUUCAUAAAUAAAAUAAUAAAUUAAAAAAUAAAAUUAGGUAGGUGGGUUGGGGGGCCAACCCGGCUGACCACGGGUUCAACCUGCAUGAGCAGGGUUGAAAUCUGACCCG
rnacentral:lncRNA from 1 species